AUGAAAAAACAGUUGUCUACAGCACUCAUUUGAUUGUCAACCAAAGAGAUUCGGCAAGAACCUAGAAUUCUACAACUACAAAGUUAUUCAGGUUCUCAACAACAUACAGCUGCAUCAACUAAUAUCUCGAAUUGAUCCUAAUUCUGUUGUUCACCUCACAACAAUAUUUUAGCCAUUUAUAUUGGAUCAAUGUUGUCUGCACUGAAAUUAUAUCUCAUCAAUUAUUUCCAGAAGAUCAUCAAUUUCCUGUCUCAAAGCUCUAAUUCUUUGCUGGAUUGGUGCAAUACGGUUCUCAAUAUCUCGACCACCAGACUUCUUUUCAUAACUAUCUGUAACUGUGGUGUGUUUCACUAUCAGCUUCUCCUGCAGCUCUUUCUCCUUUGCAACAACAUCCUCAACCUUAGAAUAUAAUGAAGCAGACAGCGGAGAAGACUGCAAAAAGGAGACUAAAGGCUUUAAAUCCUUCAAAAGCUCCUUCAACAUAUUAUCAGCUGAUUUACGAGCAGCUUUGCAUGCUUGCACAUCACCAGUCCUUGACAGAUCUCGUAAUGAUGCUUCAAGUUUAUCAUGAAUGCCCAAACAAUGGUUCAUUAUGCUCUGGAUCUGCUGAAGAGCAGUCUGCACCUCAUCCCACUGCAGUUUUGCAAGAUAAGAAGGAGAGGACUUUGAGAUUGUUAGGUCCGCAUGCAUAUAUAUGAUACAUGCAAGGAAUAAGAAGAAAAAUCCAGAAAUUAACAUCAUUGGUUCUCUAAGCAGUGACAGAUUGCUGAACCUGUAAUAGACCUGGAAAUAUUGGUUAUGCUCAUGCACAGCAUUGGUCUUUUCAAGAACAACCACUGGUCUACCAAUCAUAUCCAAAUUGGAAAAUUUCGUGUCUCUUGACUCUUUGACAGGAAAAGGGACCGAGACAGAAAUAUCCUUUGAACCUUCUGGCAGUACAACCUUCACAACAAGGUUUUCAACAACCACCUCCUCAAUUGGGCAACCAAAAGAUAUAUUUAAGAAACGUUUCCCCUCUGCACGGAACAAAUAGUCCCUAAGGGGCAGCCCAUAGCCGAUGGUAAAAGAAGUUUUCCAGCCACCAAACAUCGGAUACCUAGGUUCAAUUUGUAACAAUGUCUUUGAUGAAUCACCCCAUAAAUUGGAUGUUGAUAUAUUGCCAAUUUCAUCUCUGUAAUAAAUGGAAUGGGCUCUUGGAGGCAAUUUGGCAACAAGAUGUCCGAAUGACGAUGCACCUCUGAGAUGUGGUCGGGCCUGGUACUCUAGCCUUGAAAACUCCCCACUGCUUCUGGCACCAGCAUUGACAAGGUUAUAAUGCUCUGUGAUCUGAACAUUUCCCCAAUGAGAGACUUCAAUCUCUCGCACUAACUCCUGGGCAACUGCGAAUGGCUUAUUGCUCACGAAGUGUACUGCUAUAUGCGAGAAUGAGAAAGGAGGAAGAUUCUCAUAAGGUCCAUAUUUAAUUUCUGAACCAGAAAAUUUGGUGUUCUCUAACUUAGUGUAUGAUUCGACUUUUGGUUCGGGUAAUUUGACACUGAGAGAUUGGACAUUAACUGCAUAAGGAGAAAUAUAGUAGGCACUCUCCUGAAACACAAGGAGCUGGAUAUCAGCUUGAGUAAUUUUCUCAGGAAAUGGCUGUAGUGCAUGCGUAAAUGCAGUCCUGACUUCCAAAUUUAGGCUCUGCCCCUUUGCCAGCUCCUUCGGUAGGGAGACAGAAUACCAAGUCAAUGAUGGUGGCAUGCCUUCAGGGUUAACAAGUUUGAUAGGUAGGCUAUUGGAAGAAGUUUUAGUUUUCCCUUUCCCUUCACUGGUUGUUGCCACUAAAAAUGCUAAAUCUUUUGCCUGGUGAUCUCCAAAUGGUAACAGAACCUCUGAAAUUGGAUCAUUACCAGUAUUUUCUAUCUUCAGAUUUGCAGUCACACGCACUACUUGAGAGGUCAGGUCAAUCUUUCGAUCAACUUUGGAGAUGACUAGAUCGGAAAGUGCAGGCGACCAUUGAGCAAGUAAAACGAAAAACGAAAACAACAAAUAAAGACGAAUCGUCAUUUUCUGAUUCUUCCUUUUAGCUUUAUGCGUUAUACUACUCCGGCUAUCAGAUCGGAAAAAUAUCAAACAGAGAAAAAGACCAUCGUCGGAG
rnacentral:misc_RNA from 1 species